ACUUUCAGUCGUGAGGAAGGUAGUGUAGUUAAUAGCUGCAUUAUUUGACGUUAGCGACAGAAGAAGCACCGGCUAACUCCGUGCCAGCAGCCGCGGUAAUACGGAGGGGUGCGAGCGUUAAUCGGAAUUACUGGGCGUAAAGCGCAUGCAGGUGGUUUGUUAAGUCAGAUGUGAAAGACCCGGGGCGUCAACCUCGGAAUAGCAUUUGAAACUGGCAGACUAGAGUACUGUAGAGGGGGUAGGAAUUUCAGGUGUAGCGGUGAAAUGCGUAGAGAUCUGAAGGAAUACCGGUGGCGAAGGCGGCCCCCUCGGACAGAUACUGACACUCAGAUGCGAAAGCGUGGGGAGCAAACAGGAUUAGAUACCCUGGUAG
rnacentral:rRNA from 1 species